rnacentral:lncRNA from 1 species
AUUAACGUCGAUCUUAAUCCUUUUCGGCGUUAUUAUUUUUCUGUUCAAUAGUGGGCCCGAGGACACAUUUCCUGCUGUCCAACUGUCUUCCGUUUCGGUUUCCUUACAAAACAUCAGAUCCAACGAUUCCCUUCUUCAUCUUACAACACUCGCAAACUGGAAAUUAGGGUUUGCCGUCGACGUUAACGGCACAAUUAGGUCGGCGAAAUACGACAACUACGCCAUCAAGGACUCGUACGUCUGGGUAAUCUGCAUGUCUGGGAAUUGGACCGGAACCCUAGUUAAGACAAUCGGCCACGAUUCGGGGAACGUUGUUAAUGUCGGUGCGACGUUAGACACGUUGCUGCCGAAUUACGGUCGUCCUCAGUUGAUUAAAGGACUGCCGCUUGAGUUCGAGGCUAUGUUACAUUUGUGGUAUACAGGAUGCAGAUUAGACGUUGUGUGCGAGAAUGUGACGGUCGCGUUUUCGCCGAAUGCAACUGAAGGGGUUAUGACUGGAGGGCCGAGAUUGUGUGGCAUCAAGAUACUUCGAUUUCCGUAAGAUUUUUCUCUUUAUUAUUAUAUUCUUUUUCGUUAAUUAAUAACGGUUGCGGAUUUAGUUUGUUCCAUGAUAUGAUCGGUGUUUUUUUUUUAUCUCGACUUUUAUUUGUGAUUACCAUAGAAAUUCUUGUCUACUUUUACUCCUUUACUACGUUUUCAUCAUGAUUGUGUUUUCAUAAUGAUUGUGUGAGAAGAUAAAAAUACUCUUACCAACAUAACCCUAAGCCCUCUCUUGCUCGCCUCUCUUUCCCUUGCCGGAGAAAGGGGCACUGUCCGCACGAAUUUGAUGUAGGAGAAGGCUCGACUUUGGGUUUAAAAUUGCUUAGAUAGACAAGGAGUUAAUUUUCGUGUCAUACAUGGUUAGAAAGAUCUUAAAGUCUAGUUUCUAACUAAAAAACGGUUUACAUAACAAAAAUUGAAGGAAGAAGCUAUGCUCAGUUUUUUAGAGUUUGUAAAUUAAACUGCUUUGAUUGACAUGGAGUUAAUUUUGGUGCUAUGCAUGGUUAGAAAUAUCUUGAAGUCUAGUUUCAAACAAAAAAAUGAUUUACAAAACAAAGGUGUAAGGAAGAAAUUAUGCUAUGUUUUCUAGAGUCUGCCAACAGGGCAUAUAUAGUCAUUCAUAGUCAGUAUUGACUUUAAUUUGUGAAUUUAUUAGUUAUUGCUUGUUGUUGAAUGGUUUUUGGUUAGAUGAUCUAUGCUAUGUCUGUCUGAUGAUUAUAUUGUAAUUAAUGUUCGCUUGUGCUUUGAAGGAGUUCAUGAGACUUGGCAACAACAAUUUUAAUGAGUAGGCGAAUUGGAGAGAAUCAACUCUUAGUCAUAUGUAGUCAUAUACACGAUAUGUAGGUUGUAAGUUUUUUUCUAAUGUAAAGUGAUAUUGAUGGUUGUUUUAGUUGAAGAAUUUAUACAUGUGAUUUUUUGGAUCUAUUUGUGUGAACUACAAGUUGACUUAUAAU